GUGAGUAACACGUAGGUAAUCUGCCGUAGAGUGGGGGAUAACCCAUGGAAACAUGGACUAAUACCGCAUAUACUCUUGACGCUAAAGCGUAGUAGAGGAAAGGAGCAAUCCGCUUUACGAUGAGCCUGCGGCCUAUUAGCCUGUUGGUGAGAUAAAAGCCCACCAAAGCUACGAUAGGUAGCCGACCUGAGAGGGUGACCGGCCACAUUGGGACUGAGAUACGGCCCAGACUCCUACGGGAGGCAGCAGCUGAGAAUCUUCCACAAUGGACGAAAGUCUGAUGGAGCGACAUCGCGUGAGGGAUGAAGGCCUUCGGGUUGUAAACCUUGGAAAUUAUCGAAGAAUGAGUGACAGUAGAUAAUGUAAGCCUCGGCUAACUACGYGCCAGCAGCCGCGGUAAUACGUAGGAGGCAAACGUUGCUCGGAUUUACUGGGCGUAAAGGGUGAGUAGGCGGAACUAUAAGUCUAAGGUGAAAUAUCGAAGCUCAACUUCGGAAACGCCUCGGAUACUGUGGUU
rnacentral:rRNA from 1 species